rfam:Oryza meridionalis cultivar OR44 (W2112) chromosome 3, whole genome shotgun sequence.
AAUAAGUGUAGUUUUGCACUAUUUACAUUGAACGGUUAACCGUUCAUCUUAUUUAAUUUUUUUAUGAUUGGUAUUUUUAUUACUAUUAGAUGAUAAAACAUGAAUAGUAUUUUAUGUGUGACUAUUUUUUUAUAAAUUUUUUAACUAAGACGGACGGUCAAAUGUUGGACACGGAUAUUCACGGCUGCACUUAUU